rnacentral:rRNA from 1 species
AUGCAGAACCACCCAGGUUUCCACUACUAUCCCUCCCUGCACGACAAUGGUUGUGUCCGUUCUCCUAUCAUUGAUCCGGAGUCUGAUAGUGUUGCUAGCCACCUUUCUUGUUAUAUCACUUCUAGCUACCUUAUGAUCCACGAGCUGGCUCGAGAGCUGACUCGUGCUUGUACUGCUUUAGCCACUUCUAGAUAUUUCACUACUCCAUCCUCUAUGGGAUUUACCCCUUAUAUUCCAUCCAGUUCUAGUUCACCUAUUUCACCGGUUACUCCUCCGAGUAGCUCGGGCACCACGACCAUGAAUGCUCUCAGCGCUCCUGCUGAGUGGGCUUCCCUUCUCACUACUCCCGUAGCCCCAAUGCUUCACCCUGCACCUGCCCCAGAGGGAGAGCCCUCGAGGAAGCGUUGUUGUGUUACCUUUAACCCGGAGGUUUUAGUUAACGUCGUCAGUUCAAGAUCCGAGUCCGCUUCAGGAGAGGACCUCGCAGCACCAGCGGAGCAGUAG